UACGGAGGAUCCAAGCGUUAUCCGGAUUUACUGGGCGUAAAGAGUUGCGUAGGUGGUUUGUUAAGUGAAUAGUGAAAUCUUGUGGCUCAACUAUAAGUCUGUUAUUCAAUCUGGCAAACUCGAGAAUGAGAGAGGUCACUGGAAUUCCCUGUGUAGGGGUGAAAUGCGUAGAUAUAGGAAGGAACACCAAUGGCGUAGGCAGGUUACUGGCUCAUUUCUGACACUGAGGCACGAAAGCGUGGGGAGCGAACGGG
rnacentral:rRNA from 1 species